AUGAACGCUGGCGGCGUGCCUAAUACAUGCAAGUCGAGCGAACAGACGAGGAGCUUGCUCCUCUGACGUUAGCGGCGGACGGGUGAGUAACACGUGGAUAACCUACCUAUAAGACUGGGAUAACUUCGGGAAACCGGAGCUAAUACCGGAUAAUAUAUUUAACCGCAUGGUUCAAUAGUGAAAGACGGUUUUGCUGUCACUUAUAGAUGGAUCCGCGCCGCAUUAGCUAGUUGGUAAGGUAACGGCUUACCAAGGGAGAGAUGCGUAGCCGACCUGAGAGGGUGGUCGGCCACACUGGAGCUGAGACACGGUCCAGACUCCUACGGGAGGCAGCAGUAGGGAAUCUGCCGCAAUGGGCGAGAGCUUGACGGAGCAACGCCGCGUGAGUGAUGAAGGUCUUCGGAUCGUAAAACUCUGUUAUUAGGGAAGAACAAAUGUGUAAGUAAAUAUGCACGUCGUGACGGUACCUAAUCAGAAAGCCACGGCUAACUACGUG
rnacentral:rRNA from 1 species